UUAGAUUGUGUGUGGACAUUCUGACACCUAGCCUUGCCCGGUCCAUGAAUAUGUCUGAACAUUUUGACACGUAGCAUUGCUCGGUCUAUGGUGAUCAUUUUAGGAACUUAGUGGUGAUCAUUGUACCAAUGCAGCUUGAAGAAUAUUUAUGAUGGACUGGUGUGACGAUUUCUACGUAUAUGCUUUGCAAAUGUUUUUUGUAUGGACACCCAUGAUGAGGAAUGUCGUGAUGUAUUUGCCAAUUGAUUAAUUCCAUAUGCUAUAGAUGAGUUCAAAAGUACUUUAUAGCUGUGGAAUUGUUGAGUUGGUCCUUCUGACCUACCAGAAUCAUCGACUACUAUCUGCAUGAUGAACUGAUGAAAUAUUUGAAAUAUUAACCUCACACUAUUCAGUGGUAUUCACAGUGUACAAGAUCGUUUGUCACGUGUAAAGUAUUAUUAUUAAAAUACACGUUUAAUGAUCUAUAAAGAACUAUGAAAGAAAUCUAGAAAAAACAAA